UACGGGGGGGGCAAGCGUUGUUCGGAAUUACUGGGCGUAAAGGGCUCGUAGGCGGCCAACUAAGUCAGACGUGAAAUCCCUCGGCUUAACCGGGGAACUGCGUCUGAUACUGGAUGGCUUGAGUUUGGGAGAGGGAUGCGGAAUUCCAGGUGUAGCGGUGAAAUGCGUAGAUAUCUGGAGGAACACCGGAGGCGAAGGCGGCAUCCUGGACCAACACUGACGCUGAGUGAGCGAAAGCCAGGGGAGCAAACGGG
rnacentral:rRNA from 1 species